GACCAGACUCCUACGGGAGGCAGCAGUGGGGGAUAUUGCACAAUGGGGGGAACCCUGAUGCAGCAACGCCGCGUGGGUGAAGAAGUACUUCGGUAUGUAAAGCCCUGUCAGCAGGGAAGAAAAUGACGGUACCUGACUAAGAAGCCCCGGCUAACUACGUGCCAGCAGCCGCGGUAAUACGUAGGGGGCAAGCGUUAUCCGGAUUUACUGGGUGUAAAGGGAGCGUAGACGGCAUGGCAAGUCAGAUGUGAAAGCCCGGGGCUCAACCCCGGGACUGCAUUUGAAACUGUCAGGCUGGAGUGCAGGAGAGGUAAGUGGAAUUCCUAGUGUAGCGGUGAAAUGCGUAGAUAUUAGGAGGAACACCAGUGGCGAAGGCGGCUUACUGGACUGUAACUGACGUUGAGGCUCGAAAGCGUGGGGAGCAAACAGGAUUAGAUACCCGCGUAC
rnacentral:rRNA from 1 species